rfam:Pseudomonas fuscovaginae strain IRRI 6609 Pf_IRRI_6609_contig_11.11, whole genome shotgun sequence.
GAGUGGAGGUCCUGUUUCGAGAGUCGCCCGGCAGGGAUGCCGGGCGAGCCGUGUUGGGCCAUGGAUGGCCCGUCACGGCGUGCUCUCGAAACAGGGCCGGAGCGA